rnacentral:rRNA from 1 species
CAACUUUAACGAUGGAUGUCUCGGUUCCUACAGCGAUGAAGGCCGUAGCAAAAUACGAUAAGCAAUGAAACUUGCAUGUAUCUCUGUGAAUCAUCAUCAGAACGCUGAAUGUAAACUACACACCAAUUUACCCUUUUUAAAGAGUAUAUAAUUUGGUAGUACUUCUAUUA